rnacentral:rRNA from 2 species
GUGGACGCCAGUCUGCGUGGAGCCGACCUUGAAAUACCACCCUUUAAUGUUUGAUGUUCUAACGUGGACCCGUAAUCCGGGUUGCGGACAGUGUCUGGUGGGUAGUUUGACUGGGGCGGUCUCCUCCUAAAGAGUAACGGAGGAGCACGAAGGUUGGCUAAUCCUGGUCGGACAUCAGGAGGUUAGUGCAAUGGCAUAAGCCAGCUUGACUGCGAGCGUGACGGCGCGAGCAGGUGCGAAAGCAGGUCAUAGUGAUCCGGUGGUUCUGAAUGGAAGGGCCAUCGCUCAACGGAUAAAAGGUACUCCGGGGAUAACAGGCUGAUACCGCCCAAGAGUUCAUAUCGACGGCGGUGUUUGGCACCUCGAUGUCGGCUCAUCACAUCCUGGGGCUGAAGUAGGUCCCAAGGGUAUGGCUGUUCGCCAUUUAAAGUGGUACGCGAGCUGGGUUUAGAACGUCGUGAGACAGUUCGGUCCCUAUCUGCCGUGGGCGCUGGAGAACUGAGGGGGGCUGCUCCUAGUACGAGAGGACCGGAGUGGACGCAUCACUGGUGUUCGGGUUGUCAUGCCAAUGGCACUGCCCGGUAGCUAAAUGCGGAAGAGAUAAGUGCUGAAAGCAUCUAAGCACGAAACUUGCCCCGAGAUGAGUUCUCCCUGAGACUUAGAGUCUCCUGAAGGAACGUUGAAGACGACGACGUUGAUAGGCCGGGUGUGUAAGCGCAGCGAUGCGUUGAGCUAACCGGUACUAAUGAACCGUGAGGCUUAACCUUAC